UGUGUUAGAAAGUAAAACAGCAAAUAAGUGAGCUGGAAGAUAGAAUGAUGGAAAUAACUGUCGAGGGGCAGAAUAAAAUAAAAGAAUG